ACCCUCAGCAGAACGACUUUCAGGGCUGCAGCAGCACUUCCACCAUGGUUGGGUACUUUGUGAACUGGUACUGCCAUUUGGAGGAUGGCUUGGUCCAGCCUAGAAGUCAAAAUCUUGGAAAAAUAGACUGCAGCAGUCCCUCAGAUGUUUGUUUCAAGUGUUGGCUGUUCCACCAGUCUUCCAUGUUACUCUCUGUAGCAGUAUUACUGGUAACUGGGUGAUGGAGAGCGGAAUGGGAAUGUGAUAAUGCAAGGUUCUGGCAAGGUUCCCCUUGGGGAAUCAAAAUACCAGGCCUAGGCUGUUUCCCUUCUUUCUUACUGGAAAGGAGCUAAGAAGAAUUGCCUGAGAAUGGUGCUGCACAUGACAGGCAGAGCUACAGACUAUGGGUAUGGACUCUUUAGCUUCCAAAUCUGGAGGAAGUUCUGGUAUUUAACAAGACAGAGCUUUGCUACUUUGCUUUUUCUUCUUGCUCGUUACAGAAACAUGCUGUAAAAUGAAGUAGUAAUAGAAAAGGUUAGUUUUCUGCAGAACUUUGAGCCCCCCACUAGAGAUUUUGAAUUCUCCUAGCUUAACGCAGUGAAGAUUUUCUUUUCCUGAAGAACCAAGUGAUGGGUUUUGGGUGUAUUUUUUCUUAAUGGACUAUUUUACAAAGUAAUUCCGCACUGAGGAACAUAGAAUUGAUGUAAGAUAGGCUAAUAGUGUUGGUAUAUCAUCUACAGAACCACAUGUAAUUUCUGUUCGCUCCUACCUUUUAUUCUCACUAAGUUGGUUAAUUCCCUGGGAGUUCCAAGGAAUGCAAUAGGAAGCUGUUAAAUAUUAUGUGUGAUUGGGAAUUUAUUGAAUUGUCACUUAUAUCAGCCUUGGCACCAAAGAAAUGGGAUGUAGCAAACCUGACACCAAUUUUUAAAAGACUCAAGGAAAUUGCAUACCAGGCAGUUUGUCUUCAGAGCAAGGCAAAUUUGAAGACACUUGAAAAAAGCAUAGAUUGAUAAAUACAUAGAAAAGUAUUAUAUAUUUUGGAGUCGGUUUCUUUCAAAAAGCACUUAGUGUUUGCAUCUGUAGCUACUGACUCAAAGAUUUCAACAAGCACACUGAAAGUGGUUGUUCUGUCCCUAUAGCAGUGAUUUUCAGAGCACCUUUUUGCAAGAGUCUAGCAAAGGUUCUUUGAAAGUUGUCAGGGAACAAAACAGAAGGGUGUCCACAGAUUAAAAAUUGAUCAGAAGAGGAGAUAAAGGAAUAAAUGAUCAGCUCCCACAGCAGAAACAUCUAAGGAUGUUUCUCUUCCACAGUUAAUACAAGGAGAAAUUAAAUAGACAAGAACUUUUCCACUUGGAAAGCUCCAUGGUGGGACAUGACAGAAAGCUGUACGAUCCUGUGUGGUGCCAAGGGAGUGAAGGGGAAGGGUGUGAGCAUGCAGCAGCCAUCGGGGCCUCCUGGAUUCCUGCACGUGCCCGUGCAAACACUGCAGAGCUGCAGUGCCAAGGUGAUGGACUGCAGUCAGGCUGGGGAACGCAGAGAGAUCCACCCAGCCUGAGAAGCAUGUCUUCUCUGGGCUGUCCCUGACUAUCACCCGGAAUAUAUUCAGGGAACCAUACUGAAAGGAAAUACAUUUAUUCUUCCUCUGGUCUGGGAUUUUGUUUGUUUAUCAUUCCCCUAGCAAUGUGUAGUCUUGGCUUUAGAGGCAGGGCUGACGCAGAAGAUUUAGAAGCAAAUCUGAACUCACUUGGAUCAAGAGUUUGUAUUUGAAUCCAUAUAAGCUAGAACCCCAUGUUUAUUGCUCUGUAAAGACAAAAUAACCAGAACAAUAACAUGCCUGGCUGGCAAACCCCAUGUGCGUCAUGUUUCUUUUAAAAGGCACUUACUGCUUGCCACGUAUGCCCACAGUAAAACAGGAAAAGCUAUAUUGUCAUUUAAAAAAUGCUAAAUUUUAAACAACAACAUAAACAAAGUAAAAUAACAUCAUUAUACCCUUUGAAUUUCUUUUCCAUCUUUUCAGCACUGAAACACAAAACAAAGACUAAUGUAAUAAUUUAACUUUGAACAGGAAAUUGCAAGUGUUAGUGAAGUGAAUGUAGGUAAUAAUUGUAAAUGCUAACACUGUCUAUUUAUUAUUUGCUGGUUAUGAUUAAAUAGUUAAUACUCAUAAUUAUUUCAAUGAAAAUGCCGAUGACAACUAUAGUUACUGUUGUAUAGGAUUUAAUUCAAACCAUCUGUUUUCAUCCACUUGUAUAUAUCCUUGCUUGCAGUGAAGUGUUUUUCUGGAAGUAAAAAGUGAUUAUUAAGGGAAUGGAAAUUAUUAAUGGUUCAUGGCUUGGCAAGGAAAAUAAAUGCUUUUUAAAGUUCCUAGUGUCUAUAUUCAAGGGCUUCUGCAACAGAAAUGGUUGAGGACAGAAUGUAAUGCAGAAGUGUUUUCUACCAUAUGCUAUGCCUUGAUAUUUGGGAUUGGUCUGAGGAAGGUGUUAGAAGGUAGAAGUCAGUGGUCUGACUUCUACACCACUUAACUAGAUCCAUUUAUUUCAUUGAGCAAGGGAAAUAUGAGUAAUGUAUUACAAAGAAGGUAUGUGAUACUGGUGAACAAUAUGGAAAAAUGCUGGUGUAUACAAGGACAACAUGAUUUAUCCUCUAGCAAACUGUUUCAUUCCCUCAUUUAUUAUUCAUUGUAUUUGUAGUGUAUGGUUGUUUGCGCUAACUAGUUUAGUUAGCUUUGAAUGUAGCUGCCUCAUCUGUUCUAGUCAGAAACUGCCCUGUUAUCCAAGGAUGCCUCCACUUGGCUCCAGAGCUCAGCACUUCCUGCUGUGAAGAUCUAUUAAACCACUUCACAGGAAAAACACUUACAUCUACUUCUACUCUACAAGUAAUGAAAUGAAUGUGAGGUCAAUAACUUACUAUCUUUCUUUUCUGAGUCCGUAUCAUUUGCACAAUAGGAAGCUGUAGAAGAUAAUCAGAAACAAACAGGGUAUCUCCUGUUACUCAUGACACAUGCUUUUCAACACACCUAGAGCCUUUCAAAAUUAAAUUAAAGUCCUGGCUGGAUUGUGUCAUGCUUUACAGAGGUAGAAGGCAAGAAGACUUUGCAGCCCUCUGGGGAAUCCAGCUGUCACAGCUGAGACUGUUCAGCUGCCCAUUCCCUGCCCAGCUAAUUAAAUGGUUACAUGCAUUUCUACAGAGGUACUUGCACGAGUAUUGCAGAACCCUCCAGAAUGAGACUUCACCCUAAGAGAGGCAGCAAACACCAAACUGGUGGAAUUCACUGUGGUUGCCCCAAGUAUCAAAGUGCUGUUGUCUGUUAGCUUUCUCCUGUACAUGAGCACUGCUCGUUGUUCGAAGUAGGUUUUUCUCUGAGUUGCUCUUUCUUUGCUUCACAAGUCAAGAAGCGUUUGUUUUUUACCAGGAGGAGCAUGCUUUACAGAAUCUGGCCUCCUGGGCAUGUUUCCCUGUGUUUCCCUGUGGUGCAAUCUUGUGAGUGUUUUGUUGAGAUAAGUGAGUGACAGCUUCCAGUUAGUGUUCGGCAGGAGGGGAGGGCUUCUUUCCGAAAGUGCUGACCACCUCAGCAUAACUGCAUCCUCCUUGCAGAGGUCUCAGCCUGACAAGUUAUCUUAUCCCCCCAAAACAGCAGACUUGACAGCCUGCUGCACCUUUUUAUCUAGCUGGUAGACUUAGAGAGCAGUUCUAGUUACAGGAAAGAACUGUGCAAGGAUUACAUCUAUCAGGGUUACUGUUUGGUCUGUGUUGUCCAACUUUGUAACAGAAGGCUUGAUUGUAAGUUAUUGUUAAAUGCUGUUUUUCAGUUAUGGUAUCUUGUUACUGUUGGAGUUAAACGUGUUUUUUCUUUCCAUUUCUUCAGCCAAAAGUGCAGUUUGUCUUAAAAGAGUUAGGAUCUGUUUUCUUUCUGUUUAAAGUGUCAACAGUUAAUGUCUUGCUUUUUAACUCCGUUAUAUUCCCUUGAAAUCCCUUAAGAAACAUGAGAUUAUGACCAUGACAAAACUUUGCCCUUCCAUGUGUUUUACGUCUCAGCAACUUGCAAAGAUGUGUGAAAUACAAUUAAGAUCUCCAAGAUGCCUGUGUAUACACACAGACUUUCUAGAAAAAGCAUUACUUUUCGCAGUCAUAGCUAUCCCUUAAAAAAAAAUAAAAAAAAAAAAAAAAGAGAGAGUUAUGGAGUAUUGGACUUAGGAUGUGUUUUUUAACCCCCUUUAAGAAAACAGGUGGGGACCAAAAAAAUGCCUUACAUUGAUAGGGAUUGUGGUUUUAAACAGGGAUGGUCUAUGUUAUUCUAUUUGCCUAUGGAAAUCCCACUAUGUAGUUAAUUAUAUUUAUGAAAAGCCGCUGUUAAUCUUCUAACAAAUUACUUUUACAAGAUGGAUAUUUCUCCUUUACUAGAGUUAACCCUCCCUGACUUCUUAAAUGGUUGAGGAAGUCCCACAGCAUUUCCUUAUUGUUUGCGUAGUACACCAUAGCUUAUUAAUUGCAGAAUGUUAGAAAUACUUGUGAAUUUUAGAAGAAUACAUAUGAAGUUCUCUUUCCUUUAAAUCUGAGCAAGGCUUGUUCUUAGGUAAGGAAUAAAAAUUCCUAACUCCCUAUCUGGGAUGUCUGCAGCACAGAUAUAUGUGUCCCUUAAAAACAGAGCUGGCCUAAUCAAAUCCCUGCAGCCCAGUAUGUGGGAGAUGUCCAGAAAGACUCUGUGCAGAGCACUGAGGCUAUUGUGACUUCUCAAGUAGAGUUAGUUAGUUCAAGUUAGUUCAGUGCUAAGUCAUGAGUGAGAUUUGUUUUACUGAUUAAGUCUGUUUUUUCUGUUUUUUUUUGUUUGUUUGUUUGUUUGUUUGUUUUUGUUUUUGUUUUUGUUUUUUAUAAUUAGUAUUUAGCUUAUACACGAAGUGUGAAAUUCCCAUUUUCAGUGUUACUGCUUUCUGGAGGGAAUAUGCCCCAACUACCUGAGUUGUCCCUAGCAGCCGUACCCGCCAUCAGCGUCAGCAGAAAGACAAAAGGGUUGCAAUAACCUGAGCCCUUCAGAUGAGGCUGGGGCGUAUUUACAGGAAUGGAUAAGGUUCCUAAGCCACUUACUUGUCCAGUAGUAGACAAAAUCCCAAUGCCUCUAGGAAGAGUAAUAGCUUUGUAAUAGAGACAUUGGUCUGAAACAAGCUUUCAACAUUUGGCUUUGCCACAGAAAUUCUUCUGUGUCCAUUGCAAAUUGGUUAAUAUCUGUGUCCCAGCUCCCCAGCUAUAAAGAAGGCACUUGGAGAAGAAAUUCCGUAAUCUGCUCAAGUUGAUCAGAUAUUUUGGUGAUGAAAUUGCGAAAGUUAUGCAAUACUGCCUGUCAACAGCAUUGCAUUUAUUGUGCAGAGGAAAACAACAGAAAAAUAUAUGUAGUCUUCCAACACUGACAAAGCUGGCAGGCUGCCUCCUCUGCCAAGGCAGGAGAAGGCAGCUGUCUGUUUCUCAGUAGGUAGGGGACAGCACUGUCAAGCAGAGAAAAUACUGAUGUUUCUCCCACUGCGUAUUUGAUUUCUGCAUAAAUCUGCAUACUUGCAGGAACUCUGCUUUUCUUCCAACAGGCAAGGACUUGUACUACUGUGAGCCCAUAACUAAUUGUUACCAUGGGAAACUAUGAAAUGGCCACCCACACUUUUGUAUCUGAAUAGAGCUUGUGUUCAGACACACUCUUCAAUCAGUGUGUGGAGAUGUACACAGUGUAUAUGUGUGUUUCUUCCAAAUGUAGCAUGGGAAGUUGAAAUACAAAAGGUUACGUUUAAUGUUAAAGAUUUUGGCAGCAUCAGCAACACCUGGAACGCUUUGUCUGUGGGGCUGCUCAGGUAGGAGAGGUACCCAGAGUGCUGCUUGCUUCAGUUCAUUGGUGUGCUCAGAUCGUACAGCAGGACAUAGCCACUCACAUGAAAUUCUCCCUUUUCUUGCUUUACUUGUUGCCCAGUGUGACCCUCCAGCCCUUCUCCCUGCUGAAUAACAUGAUCCAAAAAUAAAAAUUCAAAUGGAGCUUUUCAAAGUAGACAGUAUUUUGAUUAAAAUUAUGAACCUAUUUUUCCCCUUUGCCAGUUCACUGGAAAGACUGAAUUAUCCUAUGUGAAGUUUUCUAAAAUUGUCAUGAGACGUGCACCUGAUUAGAAGGUCUCCACUCAGAUGAGUGGAGCUGGGAGAUGUCCUGAGUGACCCAAACAGCAAAGGGUCUCAGCUAGGACAGGGGCAGGGGGUGCUGCAGGCCUAUGGCUUGUGCUACGCAGCAGCUGCUUGAGCAGGAAGCAUAUACAAGCAGCUUCUUGUAUCAACAUCUAGGUUUAACCUUUAACAGGUUAGAAUUGACUAUUUUCAAGCUGCUUAGUUUUUGAAAGCUUUUAGAUAUGCGAUUGAAGGCAGGCUGCUUGCUAGCAAGCUGCACUGGAAAAUCAUUAGGGUCAAAAGAUGUAAUUGUUUCGCUAUUUAUGUGUCAGCGGAGCAGACCAAGUGCUUCUGUGACUGUAGAGAGGAUCUCUGUGAAGCAGGUUAAAACAUAUUGAAAUGUUGUGGAAAAGGCUGCAUUGUCACUGGCUGAACUGCACGUUUGCUUUGGACUGUGAAUUUGGCAGCGUUUUGUGAGACGAAAGAACCACCAGCACUAGAGUACAAUGCUUGGCUUCCUCCCUGUCUUCAAAACAGCCUAAUCUGCCAAAUUCUUGUGUGUACAAAAUACUGACUGGAUUAAUAUAAAUGUCAAUUAUAACAUCGUUUGGGACAGCAAGCAAACACUUGUUCCUUCCUGACAUUUUGGUGGUGUGUGUGAGCACCUUUAGCACCAGCAGGUCCCGUCCUAAAUAAAGGACCGGGCCACACAUGACACACAAGCAUGGACCUUAGUGAUCUUUUAACUGUGAAGCUUUGUGUCUUUUGUUAUGUUGGUUCCCUGCUCUCCUCCUUUUUUGUUUUUGGGAUAUGUCUAAUCUGAAAAGAUGGGUACUGUAGAUAUUAUUAAUCUGAGUAUGGUGGAAGUGCUGCUGUUUAGCCUUGGAAUUUCAGGGGUGAGAAGAUGACUACAGACACCUAGAUUCUUGAUGGGAGCUGGAAAAACAAUAGGCAUCUAAUUGCCAUAUUGUUUGUUUCCUCUUAUUUCCUUAAAUUACAACUUUAAACAAAGAGAUCUCACAUCAAACUAAAAUCUUUUACCGGUUGUGGAAUUAACAACUAAAAACGUUGAAAGUGAAAGUAGCAAAUGAAAUCUCAGGAAGCAUACUGUUGUGCAGUACCUAGCUUUCCUGUUCUAAGAAAUUCCCUACUAGAGAAGAGACAUACUAAAAGCAUGUCUGUUUUAUGAAAGUUUUACUCUUUUACUUAUUCUCAGAAUUUUAAGAAUUAGUUAAAUUAAAUUGCUUAAAUACAGGCAGAACAUGGUUGAAGGUACAACAGAUUUUAAUGAUCCUAGAAAAUAUCUUUCUCAGUGAAAUAUCAAUAUUGCAAAUUUAAAGAAGAAUACUUUUAAUUGUUUUUCUGCCCUGAGGGUAGCUUGUCUAGGUAUUUAUCUGUAUUUUUGAUGAGUUACCUUAAUAUUUUGCAAGUGCUACAUUGGCCACUUAAAACGUUUUUAUAGAUCUCUUAGUAAAUAAAUUGCUGGUUUCAAUUCCUUCAAAUUACAUAAAAGAAUUCAAAUAUUUGUCACAUGAUAGUUGUGAUUGUAGAACAGUAGGAACAAUGGGAGUUUCUAAUUGACUGCAUUUUUCUUUCACUUUCUAGAAUACCUUACUGAAGAGGAUGGAUUAUUCCUAGGAGAAUGCUUGACUUUAAAGUGUACAGUGUAGUACAUAAGAACAUAUUCUAGAUGUCAUAUUUAAUUCCUUUGCCAAAGUAAUCUUUUGAAACAUGAAGAAAAAAUUGUAAUAAUACAGUGUUAUUUUAAAUAACUCAGAGAAAAAUUGCACUUACUUGCACUUUCAACAACAAAAUUCUGCUAUUUAAAAAGACUGCAAAACUGUUUUGAAUUUUUCUAUUGUAUGUUGUUCUGAUUUUUUUUUCAUCCAUUACUGUGAACUUUCAUCAUGUUGAGCUUAGCCCAAAGGUUUCCUGUGUUCCAGCUUUUUAAGGUACCCAACCUGUGUAAAUACAUUAGGAUAGUUCUAAACCAUUAAAAACAAGAGGAGAUAAAUGUGUUCAAAGUUCAAAUGUGUUCUGCUGGCUUUUAUCAUCAGUGUGAAUCAUGUCGCAAUUUAGAUGCUUAAAAUAGUUCGUUGUUCAUAAAACACAGCAAAAUACAGCAAAUGAAGUCUCUUUAGAGGAGGCAGAAAACCAUAGUGGGCAUUUCACUUUGGUGCUGUGGGAGGUUUCUUAUGGGAAGGGGCUAGUUUUUUUCCGUUUGGGUAGUUCAAUCUUUAUUUUGAAUUAUUGUUGGUGCACUUGGAAUGUUGAGUGUGUUUUGAAAGUUGUGGAAACUGAAAUCCUUUUUUUUUUUUUUUUGUCCUUAAAAAUGAAACAAUAUAGGAAGUUAAAGUAAGUAUAUGCUUCUAGAAUAGCAUUAGAUCACAACCAUUUCAAUAAACCAAAUUCAGUCAUCCUGGUGAAUCAGAUUCUUACCUCUUUCUGUUAUUCCUCAAGACCUCCAGCUUAAUUACACACAGCUUGCAGAAUCAGUGAACAAAUAUUUAAAAAAAAAAUUAAAAGCCUGAAAGAUGACAUUUCUUGGGCCAAAUACAGGGAUGCUCCUGUAUCUGGACUGAAGCUGACAGCUCAUCCUUAAAUCCAGGAGGCACAGUGUGCCAAACCACCAAAGCCAUGUAGGGGAGUAAAACUGUUCAGGAUUAUCUUUUUUCCAUCUUGCAUUAUCAUUAGUGCGCUGACAUAAAACAGCACGUAUUUAAGAAGCGAAUAUAGUAGAAGGGAGCUCAUCUCAGUCUGUGUAAGGAAAAGUCGACCACUUAGACGUAUGAGGGCAGCAGCGUUUGCAAGGAUAACCAGGAUGGGAACCAGAGAGUUUGGGUCAGGGAAGGGAGGUGAAUGUUGAAGUUGCUCAAGCAUCUAUGCUGACAUCUGUUCUUGUCUAUAUGCUCAUAACCAACUCAGAAAACUGUUCUUGUCUAUAUGCUCAUAACCAAAUCAGAAAAGGAGAUAAAUGCUGAGGUAGAAGUAGUUUGCUGAUGCUCCGCUAGGUUACUUUGAACUGUAAAUCAGUGGGUCAGCCAAAGAGCUGCAGAGAGACCUUACAGGGCAAGCGUCCAGGUAAUGAAUCAGCAAAUUAAAGUCAGUGUAGAUAAAUGUCAAGUGAUGCAUGUAAGCAAGAUGCAGUCCUCAUUUUGCAUUUAAAUUCAGGGGCUCCAAACUUUAUGACUCAGCCAUGGGAUUUUGCAGCUGUGAUUGCUCCCUGAGGCCAGCUCACUGCUCAUCGUGUGCAGUUCCACUCUUCCCAACCAAAACAAUGUAUGGCAGAGCUGGAAAAAUGCAGAGAAGGGCACCAGGGAUGGACAACACUAUGGAACAGACUCUGUGCUGAGAACAGCUGUGGUCAUACUCUUUGGUUUAGAAAGGAGGGAGAAGGAAAUCUAAGAAAUGUCUAUAAAGUGAUAAAUGACAGAGGGAGCAGAGGGAGUAGUGUGAGGAUUGCUGUCUGCCCUAGUAAAAAAAAAAAAAAAAAAAAAAAAAGAGUUACCAAACUAGGAGAAGGGACACAUAGAACAUUUUAAAAGUUGGUUUUUCAUGUAAUGCAUGUUAGGCUGUCACUCUCCAGAACCAUGGAUCCUUAACGCAGGUCAAUUUACACCUGUGGGUGUAGCUUAUUUUACACUGUGUUUCAGGAUGUGCAGAAUAAUGAAAGUAAUGCUGGUUGGGUCUAGUCCACUUGACACUAAUUAUUGCGGCUGAUACUGCUUUUGGAGUAACAUGUCAAAAAAUACUGUUAAUUGACAAGAAAUACUACACAGACAAUAUUAAGACUGCAAAAGGUUGCCCAGAGAAGCUGUGGAUGCCCUGUCCCUGGGGGUGCUCAAGGCCAGGCUGGAUGGGGCUUUGGGCACCCUGGGCUGGUGGGAGGUGUCCCUGCCCACGACGGGAGGUUUGGAAGUAGAUGGUCUUUAAGGUCCCUUCCAACCCAAACUAUUCGGUGGUUCUGGCAUUAAAAACAGUAGAAGAGUAAGGGUCUCUAAAGUCCAUGUGCUUUUCCACAGAAGUUUCCUUUUUCUGCCAACCUUAUGCUAGAGUUUAAAGACAUUAUGUCUGAGGGAAAACUGUGUUACUGAGCAGAAGGAGUAGAAACAGCACAGAAUCUGUGCAGUUCCUGUGUUGGUGUGUCCUUCAUCCUGGUAGUUGUGGUAUUUCCACAGCAAAUAGUAGAAAUUAUGAAGUCACUAGUCAGCUUCAGGGAGUCCUUGGCUCCUUCUCUGCUUUUGGUAUGAAGUGUCAUUCCAGUUACAGUUAAAAAAAAAAAUGGGAAAAAAACAUCAGAAGAAAAACUUUAGAACAUUUCAGAACAAGGAUGGGCAGUACUCAGAGUCUCUUUUGGAAAUGCCUUCUGCAGCCAGAGUUUUUCAGCUGAGGAGGCUUUAUCCCUCCCCAGGAUCUGCAGCUAUGUCCAAGAACACAUGCUCUUGGCAGCAGACUGCUGCCGUCUGAUGUAGCUGGGGAACUGAAAAUAACUGUUGUAAGGGAAAAACUUCAGACGUAAAAGACUUCAGUUAUCUAAUGUUGUUUGUUUUUAGUAUAUUUUGGGUGAUAAGAGAAUUGGAGGGUUUGGGAUUCUUUUUUUGUUUUCCUCUCAAAAAUCAGCAGCUAAGCAGUUUAUGCACAAAGAUAAUACAGGACAUAGUGAAGUGUGUUAAACCUCCUUUCACUUGUGUAAUCAGAAUUCUCUCUCCACCUUUUUAAAUGAUGUGGAAAAAAAUUAGUGACUGAAAUCAAUAUUCUGUCUUUUAUACUCUUUCAUAACUGCAAUUUGGCUUAUUUUACAAUUUCAUAAUUUAUGUUAAAGGCAAAGUUGUGCAGCUAUCCAUAAUGUUGGGUAAAUAGUUACCAAUAAAACCUUAGCACAUUUGGUGAAAAAGAAUUUUUUUAAAACAGAGUGGUUCUUGUAUCAGCUCAUUGUUUUAACAGGGUGUACUGCUUUCAAAUAACUGUUUCUAGUGCCUAUUAAUUUAAAACAAUCUCACCAGCAACAGCUGUGGGAGGAUUAUGACCCAUCAAAGGUAAGAGGCAAUGUAAUUUAGAAUCAAUAAAUCCCUAGCCUAUAGUGGUGUUAGAAUUUGAUUUGAAAUAAGUGAAAUACAUUAAUAUUAUAACUAGCACAGCAUAUUUUGAUAAAUUAUCUUUAAAAGCAGUCGAUGUCUUUAUAUAAAGUGCAGACUUCACAGCAGAACCAUACAUAUAGAUAAAAAUUACCAAAAUUUACACUUACAAAGGACCUUACAUUUGUGACUGUCAAAAUAGUUAGUAAAUUAACAGAGAUUUAAUAUAGAAUCACAAUAACAUGUUUCCCAAAUAGUAUUUUUGUUUAGCAAAUGAGGGAAACAGAGAUACAGAGAAAUAAUGAUUUUCCAGAAAUCUUAAAGGGAAUGCGAUGGUUGAGUGUGUCAUGGCUUGGCAGAGAAAAAAUGUAUAUCAUAAUAGAGAGUCAGGUUGCUCAUUUUACUGGGCUUCACGUUUUUCUCUUAUGUUAGCAACAAAGGUGAUGUUUUUAAAUAUUGAACUGUACUUAUAGAUUAUGGUUCAGUAAUACAAUGAACAAUCUUUUUAGACUUUCAUUUACUAAAACAGAAGAUUAAUAGACCUUUGUGUACCUUUACGGUGCACAGGUCAACUCUGAUGUUUGGGAAGAGGGUGAAAGAAAACAACUCUUUUGCUUAUUUUUAUUUUAUGUUGUUGUUUUUUUUUUCUUAACUUCCGUUUCUAUACCCCUCACUGAAGGCUUGAAUUAGAGAGAUUUUCUUGUGUCACUCUUUAGGUUCUAUUAGCUCUUAGUCUGCGGAUAUAAAAAAAAUUCUUGGCAAGUAAUAUCUUGAUAGUUUCACUUACUUACCAUAUAUCAUUUACAAGAGUACUUUGGCUUUCUGAAACAGAGAUGUGUUUAUGCAAUGAUGUGAAGGAUGUCCAAAACCUGAAAACAUAUGCAAAGUAUGCAAAGAAAACAGUGUUAUGGUACUUCCCAUGCUGUUUGACAACAGUGAGCUUAUGAAGUUGUGUUCCUCACAGAUUCUUCCCACUGGGGUCCUUUUUGAAAGAUAGUUCAAUGCCAUGUGAAAGAGGAUAGAGGAAUUGAAUGACAGUGAUUGAGAUUAAGGCUAACCAUGUAGAGGACUGUGUUGUGGAGAGAGUAGCAAGCAGGUCAAGGGAAAGAACCAUUCCCACUGUUCAGCACCCAUGUCUUGUGUCCUGUUUUCUUACUGUGUGGAACUUCUCAGCAGAAGACUGUCAACAGAAGACAAUACAAUGGAUAGCCACUAUAUGGAUGGAGGGCUUAGCACACAAGAAGAUGAAUAAACUAGGCUUUUUUAACCUGAAGAAGAGGAGUCAGACUUCCUAUGACCAUUAGCAUAGCAAGGGCAGUUACAUGUCAGAUGGAGGUGGUUUCUUCUCAGAGGUACACACAAAAGAAUAAGGGGCAAUGGUCACAAGCUGCAACAACAGCCAUCCACUUGGACAUAAAGAGAAAAUUUUUCCAUUGCAAGCAGUUAAACAGUGGAGAAGUUUUUGCCAGAGAAGCUGCAGAAUUUAUCUUCAGAGAUACUCACCAUGGGACUGGGCAAGGCCCUUGGUCUAGCUUUGAAGUUGGCUUUGCUUUGAAGCAGAACUAGAUAAUCACCAAAGAGACUUCCAGUUUAAAUUACUUUGUAAUUCUGUGAUCCCCAAUGGGCUGAGAUGGUGGCUAGUCAGACAUGCAUGUAUAGAGGACCUGACACCCAAGUAUUUCAAAAAUGGAGAGCAAACCCUCUCCAAAGUGGGAGUUGUAUGUAGGUAUGUCCAUGCAUGUUGCAAUACUCUUUUAGUAAAGGUUAAUUACAGUUAUAUCACUUUGAUACUUAUUACAUUCAAAGGUAGGAACAGCAUAUCUACAUUCUGAAUGAGCAACACAUAGAUUUCACUGAUUUCAAGUUGCAUUAGUAUUUAAAUACUGCUAGGAGCAAAUUUUCAGAAGUGCUCUAUAUUGAAGUUUAUAGUCCUAUAAAGAUAAUUUAUUAAUCUCUGUCUGAACAUUUAGCUUUCAAAAGAUUAAAUACGGCUCUUGGUCCCUAAUUUAAUUCUGUAAGGAGCUGAGAACCCUUUGUACCCAACAACACUUGAAAUUAAAGGUUCUUCCUGGAUUUAUUUUACCCCUGUGGGGGAAAUUUGCCAGAAUGUUAAAUGAUUCUGGGAAGCAACACUAGCAAAUUGUUGUAAACUGCUGAAGGUUGUCAGUUCUGCGAUAUCCAUGGCUCUGAGUGGUCACUGAGCAAAACAGGGAAAUGCAAAUGAUAAAAGUGCAGGAAGACCAGAGCAAUUAAAAAAGGUGAACUGGGUAUGAGAGUUUCUGGAAAAGGAUAAAUGAAGAAGGCUGAUACUGCUUUUACCUGAAUAUCUGUGCAGAAUGGGUUCCAGCAAAAAUGUAUUCUAGUUUUUACUUCUCUGGAGUAAAAAAAGGGUGUGUAACAAUUACAUACUUCUAGCAUAAAACAGCACAGGCAAGCAAUAUUUUUAGCUGAUGAAAAUCCAACGCUCUGUAUGUGAGCUGUAUACACACCACAGUCAUCCACAGAAUUCAGUAGAAAACUAUUUCUGUGCUUCUAAAAUUUUGGUUGCAAGACACAAAAUGUAUUAAUGCUUUGAGUUAGGUUGGCUCCAGAAAGUUGGUUUAUGUUUAGGAAGUUCUAAGAUCCUCAGCAGUCUGAGUAGUUUGACCUUCCUGUCUGCUGUCACAAGCUGGACAGCCUUGUUUAUGCUUUGAAUAAUGAAUAAGGAUCUUUAUUGAGGUGAUUCUCUAAAAAGUAGAUAAGUACCACCCUGGAAACAAAUCAUCACCUACGUCCAUCAAGCUCAUGGUGCAUUAGUCUGUUAUGGACAGACAAAACAGGAA